rnacentral:piRNA from 1 species
AAAGUGAUAGAAAAAGAAAUUGGUU